CCGCCCCCACACAUCCGCUUUCCGAAGGGCCUUAGAGCUGCAGGUACUGUAUUGCUAGGAGGCCCCGAGUGCCCUGUUGAAGCGAGAAGGGAGGCUCUCCGGAAAUGACACACAGAUAAAUGUGGGAAUGACUAACUGUGACCGAACAGGACCCAGGGCCCUUGGUCUCCGGGAGGUCAGAGGACUUGGCUGCCUGCCCCCUGGGAUGUAGCUGCGUGGACUUUUCUUGCUUUCAUUGGCGAGAGACCCGGUCCUGCCCGGCCUCUGAUGCUGAACUAAUUCUCUCUGCUCACUACCUUCUCUGGUGCCCAGUGCCUCAGGACAACAGGAAAGCUGCUGGAAUGGGCUGGCAUGGCUUUGGGCACGAGGAGGGCCCGGGGAUCGAGCACACUCAGCACGACUGUUGCGAUGACCUGAGAUGAUGCGGUGAUACAGGAUGAUCAGGACUACGAACGAGAAAAUACUCCACAGACGUGCACGUGUGCAUACUGGUCCCCUGCAGAGCACCCGGAAGGGAAGAGGACCAAAGGGGAGGUGCUGGGAAGAGACUUUGUGCCCUGGUAGAAAGCGAGAGGGCAGGAGACCAGCUAGCAACCUUUGGAGUCAAAUAUUUAGACUACGUAUUAGAACAUGGAUCGGCGGUGCUUUGGGUACACCUGGGCCAACGGGCCAAGAAGCAGGUCUGGGCUCUCUUGCUGGCCUGUGCACUACGCCACCCCCGAACAGCGGACCCCCGGCUAGAGGUGCGUGGAAGGGGAGUUCUGUCAAGCGCUCAGCUUAGGCGGGGCAUGACUGGAGAAGCGCUGAGCCGGCAUAGAUGGAGUGUGACGUUUGCACAGUAUCGGGAAUCCUCUUUAAGUAAAAGAAGACAGAAUUAGACACCAAAGAGUAUGUAUUUGUGAGGAAAAGAGGAGAAAAGAAACAUAAUAAAUUACAAAUGUUUAAAAGGACGAGUAACAAAGAUCAAAAACCCCAGAAAAAUAGCAAAGCACUUUAACAAAUGAGUUGCUCGGCAUGCCUUCAUUAUAUUCUUGGUUGUGUCCUCUGGUAGGUAGAAUGUCUGCAUCCUAAUCUCCCGGAUGUGUGAAUGCAUUUCCUGGCACAGGGUCCCUGCAGAUGUGGAAAGAUACAGACCUGGAGAUAGGGGAGUCUCGUGAAUUAGCCAGGGGGCCAGCAGAAUCACAGGGAUCUUACAGUCAGAAAAACUCCUGGAUUGGGUCAGAGAAACAGACGCAACAGGGACAGGGAUCAGAUGCCAAGGCCCUGGCUUCAGAGACGGAAGAAGGGGCCAUGAGCCGAGCACACAGCAGCACUUAGAGGCUAGAAAAGGCCAGGAUUCUCUUCUUCAGCCUCCAGGCAAGCUGGGACUUCCUGUCCCUCUGCCCCACUGUAACCCUUUAACCUCUCCAGGUUGGCAAGGAUCGAGGCUGCUCAUUUCCUUCUGGUGGCUCCGAAGGCAGAAGAAUAGUCUUGCUUUCCUACUUUCUCUCUCUCUCUCACUCUG